UACGAAGGGGGCUAGCGUUGCUCGGAAUUACUGGGCGUAAAGCGCACGUAGGCGGUCUUUUAAGUCGGGGGUGAAAUCCUGGAGCUCAACUCCAGAACUGCCUUCGAUACUGAGAGACUUGAGUCCGGGAGAGGUGAGUGGAACUGCGAGUGUAGAGGUGAAAUUCGUAGAUAUUCGCAAGAACACCAGUGGCGAAGGCGGCUCACUGGCCCGGAACUGACGCUGAGGCACGAAAGCGUGGGGAGCAAACAGG
rnacentral:rRNA from 1 species